GCUGGCGGCGUGCCUAAUACAUGCAAGUCGAACGAGUUCUCGUUGAUGAUCGGUGCUUGCACCGAGAUUCAACAUGGAACGAGUGGCGGACGGGUGAGUAACACGUGGGUAACCUGCCCUUAAGUGGGGGAUAACAUUUGGAAACAGAUGCUAAUACCGCAUAGAUCCAAGAACCGCAUGGUUCUUGGCUGAAAGAUGGCGUAAGCUAUCGCUUUUGGAUGGACCCGCGGCGUAUUAGCUAGUUGGUGAGGUAAUGGCUCACCAAGGCGAUGAUACGUAGCCGAACUGAGAGGUUGAUCGGCCACAUUGGGACUGAGACACGGCCCAAACUCCUACGGGAGGCAGCAGUAGGGAAUCUUCCACAAUGGACGCAAGUCUGAUGGAGCAACGCCGCGUGAGUGAAGAAGGCUUUCGGGUCGUAAAACUCUGUUGUUGGAGAAGAAUGGUCGGCAGAGUAACUGUUGUCGGCGUGACGGUAUCCAACCAGAAAGCCACGGCUAACUACGUGCCAGCAGCCGCGGUAAUACGUAGGUGGCAAGCGUUAUCCGGAUUUAUUGGGCGUAAAGCGAGCGCAGGCGGUUUUUUAAGUCUGAUGUGAAAGCCCUCGGCUUAMCCGAGGAAGCGCAUCGGAAACUGGGAAACUUGAGUGCAGAAGAGGACAGUGGAACUCCAUGUGUAGCGGUGAAAUGCGUAGAUAUAUGGAAGAACACCCAGUGGCGAAGGCGGCUGUCUGGUCUGUAACUGACGCUGAGGCUCGAAAGCAUGGGUAGCGAACAGGAUUAGAUACCCUGGUAGUCCAUGCCGUAAACGAUGAAUGCUAGGUGUUGGAGGGUUUCCGCCCUUCAGUGCCGCAGCUAACGCAUUAAGCAUUCCGCCUGGGGAGUACGACCGCAAGGUUGAAACUCAAAGGAAUUGACGGGGGCCCGCACAAGCGGUGGAGCAUGUGGUUUAAUUCGAAGCAACGCGAAGAACCUUACCAGGUCUUGACAUCUUUUGAUCACCUGAGAGAUCAGGUUUCCCCUUCGGGGGCAAAAUGACAGGUGGUGCAUGGUUGUCGUCAGCUCGUGUCGUGAGAUGUUGGGUUAAGUCCCGCAACGAGCGCAACCCUUAUGACUAGUUGCCAGCAUUUAGUUGGGCACUCUAGUAAGACUGCCGGUGACAAACCGGAGGAAGGUGGGGAUGACGUCAAAUCAUCAUGCCCCUUAUGACCUGGGCUACACACGUGCUACAAUGGAUGGUACAACGAGUUGCGAGACCGCGAGGUCAAGCUAAUCUCUUAAAGCCAUUCUCAGUUCGGACUGUAGGCUGCAACUCGCCUACACGAAGUCGGAAUCGCUAGUAAUCGCGGAUCAGCACGCCGCGGUGAAUACGUUCCCGGGCCUUGUACACACCGCCCGUCACACCAUGAGAGUUUGUAACACCCGAAGCCGGUGGCGUAACCCUUUUAGGGAGCGAGCCGUCUAAGGUGGGACAAAUGAUU
rnacentral:rRNA from 1 species